GAUGAACGCUGGCGGCGUGCCUAAUACAUGCAAGUCGAGCGAACAGACGAGGAGCUUGCUCCUCUGACGUUAGCGGCGGACGGGUGAGUAACACGUGGAUAACCUACCUAUAAGACUGGGAUAACUUCGGGAAACCGGAGCUAAUACCGGAUAAUAUAUUGAACCGCAUGGUUCAAUAGUGAAAGACGGUUUUGCUGUCACUUAUAGAUGGAUCCGCACCGCAUUAGCUAGUUGGUAAGGUAACGGCUUACCAAGGCAACGAUGCGUAGCCGACCUGAGAGAGUGAUCGGCCACACUGGAACUGAGACACGGUCCAGACUCCUACGGGAGGCAGCAGUAGGGAAUCUUCCGCAAUGGGCGAAAGCCUGACGGAGCAACGCCGCGUGAGUGAUGAAGGUCUUCGGAUCGUAAAACUCUGUUAUUAGGGAAGAACAAAUGUGUAAGUAACUAUGCACGUCUUGACGGUACCUAAUCAGAAAGCCACGGCUAACUACGUG
rnacentral:rRNA from 1 species